rnacentral:rRNA from 1 species
GACAGAGGGUGCAAACGUUUGUUCGGAAUUACUGGGCGUAAAAGCGCGUGUAGGCGGCCCUGCAAGUCGGAUGUGAAAUCCCACGGCUCAACCGUGGAAGUGCAUUCGAAACUGCAGGGCUAGAGUCCUGGAGAGGAAGGUGGAAUGCUUGGUGUAGAGGUGAAAUUCGUAGAUAUCAAGCGGAACACCGGUGGCGAAGGCGGCCUCUGGACAGUGACUGACGCUGAGACGCGAAAAGCGUGGGGAGCAAACAGGG